AGAGCACGCAGUGAGGCCUGCAGCCUCGAGCACAGUGACUGCCAUAAUAGUGAAAGUAACUAUCUUGGAGAUUCAGUUGGACAUUAACACUUUAGGAAGUCUGGAGGCGUGCUGGGACGUGAUUACCUCCAUACUCCACCCAUCAGAAUCAUAACAGUACACAGAUUUGGACACAAUAUUCCAGUUGAGUGAGCACAAAGCUUCUUGAAGUGCUGUACCUGGCUGAGGAGGAUACCCGUGACGAUGGCCAAUUGGUGCAUGGUGCCCAGGGCCCCUCGCAGUCUGGUGGGUGAGAUCUCUCCAAUGUACAUGGGCACCAAUCCUGAAGUCAACCCUAGAAGAGUUGAAAAACAGCUUGACUGAUUUUUAAUGAAGCAUUUAAAGAACAAUGGCACCCAAAGUUAAAGAAUUCCCAUGAUGAAAUCUGCGCCAAAGCCAAUAUCAACAAGAUCCAAGUGUCAGCUCAUUGCUCCAACAGCAUGUCUCAGUCAGGCAUAUCUACUGGCUGAUAAAGGAUCUUUAAGAGAAACUUAUUUCUUUUUUUAAUAAAAUCUUUUUCUGGCCAUCUC